rnacentral:rRNA from 1 species
CGCGCUACACUGAACAGUUCAACAAGUCUUAACCUUGGCCGAUAGGUCUGGGUAAUCUUUGAACGCUGUUCGUGAUUGGGAUAGACCUUUGCAAUUAUGGGUCUUCAACGAGGAAUUCCUAGUAAACGCAAGUCAUCAGCUUGCAUUGAUUACGUCCCUGCCCUUUGUACACACCGCCCGUCGCACCUACCGAUUGAAUGGUCCGGUGAAAUCUCGGGACGGCGGCUUGGUCGCUUGCGUCCGACUGCUGAAACUUGAUUAAACCAUAUCAUUUAGAGGAAGGUGAAGUCGUAACA